rnacentral:misc_RNA from 1 species
AUCUACGUGGCUCAACAGGAUCAGAGGUUGAUUGUGCAGAAUAACCAUGCAAAUCUGCAUCCUCCUCAAUUCUACUCAACUUUCCACCAGCAGGGGCAAGUUUUCCUUUACUUACUCGUUCAGGUUUAGCAUUUGUGGUGUACAUUUUCUUAGAAGAAACAGUAUCUGAUGGAAGAGCAAGUGCAGAAAAUAAGAUUGGGCCCUCUGU